AGAAAAAAAAAAAAGCUGGGACAAGAGUGAGUGGGAAGGGUUUUGUUUAAGUUAUCUCUCUCUCUCUCUCUCUCGAAACAUCAUUCAAGUCUGCCUGCAACCAAGACCAAACUUUGCCAUUGUUCAUCUCAAUCUCCUCUGUUAGUUAGUACUUAAUUACGUGAUCUAAAUUAAAUUUCGUAUCAUGACGAGAGUAGGCCGUGAUUUUGCUGAUUCAUUGAAAAAGGAACAGUUCCUCCAGUCUCAACAGAUGUGAUAUUUGCUACUAGUCGGUUUCCAACUUAUAAAAUUGGUGCUAACAACCAGAUUGUGGAGGUGGAGGAUCCCAAAGUGUUAGCCACGAAGGAGGUCAUUGCUCGAGAAACUGCCCAAUUGCUGGAACAGCAGAAACGCCUCAAUUGCUAGAACAGCAGAAACGCCUCUUUGUUCGUGGCCUUGCCAGUUAAUUUGAGAAAGGUUCGGCUGCAGCAGCUAAGUUGUGUGAUGAGGCUAGACUCAGGGACGCUACUUCUUUGAAGAAACAUGUACUUCUAAAGAAGCUUAGAGAUGCACUGGAAGCCUUAAGAGGCCGUGUGGCUGGUAAAAAUAAGGAUGACGUAGAAGAAGCUAUUGCUAUGGUUGAAGCUUUAGCAGUUCAGUUGACUCAUAGGGAAUGACUCCAACAGAAGGUUAAACAGUAAUUCUUUUGCGAGAGUUGAGUCUGAGCCCGUUACGAGAAUGGAUUUAGUGAAUUCUGAUGCUUUUGCUUCUUCAGCUUCAUGUUUUGAAUUCAACAGCUUAGAUAAUAGGGAAGAAAAUCUUUUCCAUACAUGAAGUGUGAGGAAUUCAGAACUGAGGGAUCCCCAUGUUGAGAGACAAGAACCUACACUUGACCCUGAAAAACCCCCAGAUUUUGUUUCUUCUAACUUCUUGUGUGAACACAACUCUAUGCGUGAUAAGCUAAGCAUGAGUAGAAACCAAUACCUUGCUGUUCAAGAAGCCUGUGACAAGUCAAGUAUGGUGAGCUAUCGUCUCAUUGGUUGUGUAUUGGAUGAGUUUGCACAAAUGGAAGAUUUACAUUUGGACUGGGGUGUUGUGCCAUAUCUCAGAGGUGUUAAUUCAAUUCGAAAACAUUCUGGAGUUGCAAAAGAUCAUAUUUCCUAUGAGAAAGAGGUGCAUGGUUCAGUUGUUGUUCAAGUGCUUGAAGAGCUAUUACCUUCAUUUCCUGAAAGGUUCUGCUGGGGUCGUAAAUUGAAGUGUUUUGGAUCAAAACGUAGAGGGCAGAAAAUGCGUCGUUUGGCUCCAAGAAAAUUUAAUCUCUGUUGCUGAAAAAUUUGAAAGCUUCUUGGCUUGAGGAAAAGAUAUGGUGAUUCCACCCAACUAGGGGUGUGGAAGUCUGUGUGUUAGGAGUACAAUGCUCUCAUUUUGCGUGACUCUGUUUUGUAAGCCAAGGGCUGUAUUUGUGUGGGUUUGAAUAACCGUUUUGUAUAACCGAGCUUAAGCCUUGAAAAUUUGUAAACCCUUUGAGGUAUUUAUUUGUUUAUUUACUUCUUGUUAGAUUGAUGUAUUGUUGCUUGAAGAACUAUUGUAUCAUGUAAUGUAAGUUUGGAGGUUUAUAUUCGGUUUUCUUUGAAAGAGUCAUGAUUGUUAUAUUAUC